CGUGCGCUCCGCGCUCGCUCAGUUUCUGGCUGGCUCUCGUAGAGAGCAGACGUGUGUUCUCCGCGCUCGCUCAGUUUCUGCGUGGAAGUUGCCGCGGGGGAAAAGAGCUAUGAUGGUGGCGCCAUCUGGUGUGAUGCCUUGCAACUAAGUGGCCACCUGUCGUCGAUCUCUGCAACUGCUGGGUGCAAACUACCAACAUGGCGGGCGCUGGUCACUCGGGUGUUGCGGAGCGGCUUCUUCGCCGCGGCAUCGUUGAUUUUCGAAUAAAUUGUUUCUCUCCA